AAGUACCGGAAACAGAUUUUCCGUUUUGGCGGUAAAACUAAAUACAGAAAAGAGUUCGGAGAAAAUUUGCGGAGGUAGUACUGUUUACUUUUUUUUAAACACAAUUUUCUCCUUCUUCACAUCUUUUUCUGUAUGUUCAUAUUUUUUUUUAUUUUUUCUUAUAUACUAAUUCGUAUAUCCUUCCAAUUAGGAACACUAUUAAUAUAUUAUAUGGGCUUAAAUCAGCAUACUUUUAAAUUAUAUUUAUAUGAAAAUCCAAGUUGUCUUAAUAUCAUGACUAUAGUCUAUACAAAUCCUUGUGAAAUCUAAAAAAAAAAGAAGAUAGAUCCAUAAGUAAUUAUAUUAUAAUUUUUUUUUAUGUGUAACAGGAGAGCACAAUCCCCUCUGGUCUACUAACAUGACUAAUGAAAGGAAACAAUCACAUCACAUACUUUAGUUGUGACUUAAUUAAGGUUCAUGUGGACCCUAUGGCUAAAAUGGCCGUAUUUUCACCUCAAAAUUUACUAUGAGUACAGACAAACCUGCGCAUCUGUAAAAAAUUUCAGGCUGCAGCCCUAGAUAAAAUAAUUUCAAAUAUGUUUUCAUGUUUAGAAAAAUAAAAACUUACCAGGAUUUUGCGUGCACUUUUUUUCAUCCUCAUGAAGGUGCAAAUAAACUAUUUGGAAACAGGUUGAGAACUUCCCCACAGGUAAUAAUUGAAGUGAGCAGUAUGAUUGACAUGCAUUAGAUGGACAAUAGAUACAUGACAUAAUGUUAUUAAAUGUGUACCUGAGUUGGACCAAUUUUCAAGUAACUCAACUGUUUUAUUUAUCAUCUUCGCAGGACGAAAAAAAAGGUGUACGGCAAAAUCCAGUUAAUUAUGAAUUUUCUAAAUCAUACAAUGCAUUUUAAUUUUAUUAUCUAGGCUGCUAUGCCUUAAACGUUCCAGAUGCACAGGUUGCUGUACUCGAUAGUAAUUUUGAGGUGAAAAUACGGCCAUUUUCCAUAGGGUCCACAUGAACCUUAAUCGUGUUUAGGCGGGUCAUGGCGGACGUGCGCCCUCUAGAAAUAUGCCUUAUCACUAAUCCCGGCAGACCCCAGAAUAUGCCCUGCACGAACUAUUGACGUCAUACAACAAUUACUUUUCCAUUGUGGCAUCAGAUAUUCAGAUAUUUUGUAUUAUGACGUCAAAAUUUUGUGUUGUCCAGUAAUGGGGAUAAAUAGCAAUAAGGUGUAUUGCAAAGCAUGGGUUGUCCUCAGCUCAACAAAGUAUCUGUUAAGACGCCGAAAAUGAAUGCCGUCACAUUCCAACCGUUUUAACAUUCAAAGAAGUAUAUAAAACAUGUAAAACAGUAUAAAGUUUAACAGAAUCAACGUGAUUACUACUUAACAAAUCUACAGUGUAUGAUAUAAGUUCUAUAAAUAUCAUAUACUUCCAAAGAAAGUUGUCAAAGGGGUACUGUGUUUGAUGACAAAUAUCAUAGGCUUUUAGCAGUUAAAGUAAAACAAUUGUUACAUUAUAGUUGCGGUUUUAUAAACAAUUACAAAACAAAGUCAGGUCUUGAGAAAAGAUGUCAGAUAGUCUGUCGGAAGGGGACAAUAAUGGAUGACCUGUGUUAAGAGAGAGCAAUAUCUCUUGCAUGUAAAACCCUUGUAGAUUUUGAAAAAUAGCAGGUUGAUAUGCUGCUAAAACAUGUAAAAAGGCAGCACUCGCACCUGCAAAGUGGGUUUUGAUAUAAAUUGUAAUAACUAGUUUCCCAAUCAACUAUAAAUAAAUAUGUUUAAACUACACAGUCAAGGUCCCUGCCCCCUGAAUAUAUUUGAUUGACUAAUAGUAAUGUUACACCAGUUAUCAAGUAACCAAUGACAUAACAUUCGCUUGAUUUUAUUUUAUAUGGAGGGUCAGCUUGUGUACUCUUGAUUGUCUCUAUUCUACUUGUGUUCAGUCCCUUUUUCUGGUAAAUAUAUAUUUUAUAGAGGUAGUCUCAAUGAACAAUGAUGAAUAGAAGGUCACAUAUUUCUAGUUUAUUAUGGUGAUUGUAGAUUGUCAGGGAUGGAUUGGGGCGGUUUUAGCUUAAAACUUUAAUUUCUCGCUAAUUUUACCACAAAAUAUUUCGCACCAUGCUUCUACAUUCAUGACAUUGCACCCACUCUAGAAGAACAUUUGAAUAGUUUUGAAAAUUUAAGUUUACCUAUAACCUAUAAUCCUGGAUCUGCCCUGUUAUAAAGUUCACCUCACUUUAUUACCAUAUCAUCUGUUACAGUAAUUUUAAUUGACAGAUCAGCAACUCUCACAUGUCUGCAUGUUCUUAAAUAAACAUAAUUAAAUAGAUCAAUUGAAGUUCUUAUACACAUGUUGGCAUUCUGUAGUCUGAUAAAUGAUGUAAACCUUGUUAAUAAAAUUAGUUAGGGGGUCUCAAUGGGGUUCCGAUCCCAAUCCCGCUUACUGUUUUGUUCAGUUCCCCGUUAUCCCGCUUACACUAUUGUACGGUAAGCAAUUCGUCAUUUUUUUGUCAUUCCGGUCCCGCUGUAGACCGUCAUUUCCCGUUUUCACGACAAAAUAAUUUGACUUUCCCGUGUCACGCUUACCAAAAAUCGGCAAUCCCGCGUCACACUUAGACCCCAAUGAGACUCACUAGUUAUAGAAACUGGAUUGUAUUAUUACAUAGCAAAUAUAUUAUAAUUAGAAGAAGUAAACAAAAUAUACAUAAAUAGAAGUAAAAAAAAUAUACUUAUAUAAUUAAUAUAAAAGUUAAUUAUAAUGUUUGAAUAAUCUCCCCUGAAAUUUGGAUUUUUAUUUUACAAUCCGACAAAAAUUCUCAAGUUUUUAGAUGUAAAAUCAUGCCAUUAACAAUUUUUCUCAGGUAAGACCAAAAAAUAUAAUACAUGUGUUUCCCAUAACCCUACCUACCCUAAUUUUUAGGGCAUACCCUAACACUUUUUAUGCCAUUUUGGAACCAGAACUGCAUGUUAAAGUCAGAGUGAUUUCCUAGUAGUAACCAGCUAGAAAAAAAUUGUUAAGGACAAUAAAAAUGAUUAUGCUGACUGGUGGAUUGGCCUUGUUAAAAGCCAUAUAGUGUUCUAUAGUUGUUAAUUUCAUUUGGUCAGUUGUUAUGAUCCUGGAGAGUUGUCUCAUUGGCAAUCAAACCAUCUUCUUUUUAUAUGAAAAAGCAUCAUAAUACAUUUGUAUCAAAGAUAUGCAAACAGUCGGAAUAUUUGUUGUGAUGACAUGAGCACUUGUCUUGGGCAAGUUAAACUCCCCUAAAUUUUACUUGUCCGGAAAAAACAUGAGAAAAGUGACUUGCCCUGGAUAUCCAAAGAAAUAUUGAAGUAUUCUACAGCAUGUACAGUAAGAUUGUAUGAUUCUAUAAAUUGUUUUUUUUCUCACGAUAUAUAUUUGUGAUAUAUUUGAUUAUAAAUAUGUAAGAAUAAAAGAAGGUAUGGGAUUAAGACUAAUAAAACAGAAACUCAACAACAACACAAAUCGAAAGGUAUAUUGUAUACAUGUAGAUUGGUCAAUUUUGCAAUGUUCUUAAAAAUGAUAGCCAGUAGGUGCAUGAAGUUUUGAAUCCAGUAAAUAAAAUGAACACCAAAUAAUAGAUCAUUUUACAUAUAUUUUAUCAAUCCCAGAAAAAAAACCCAUAUUUUAUCAUGUUUAUUACCCACGGAAAUAAACGAAUCAUGAGUAUGGGAAAUAAAACAAAUUUGUAGGUUGAAACUGUAGGAGUUGUGACCACAAAGUGAAACAUCAUGAAAAAUAUGAAUUGUCCAUGCAGAAAUAACCAUAAUAACAGGGAUAAGAAAAACUUAAAAACAAAAAUCCUCAUACAGUAUGACAGACAAAUGAUAUGCAUGAAAACAAACAAAAAAACAAAAAAUCAUGAUAUAAAGCAGUUUCUUUUAUUAAUGUGUUUCAAUUAAGACUUGUUUAUACAUUGUAUAUACAUAAUAUACAUGAUAUAUACCUUAUCUUAUGCAGAAAGUUGGAAUAAAGUGACUGCACAACUAGUUCCAAUUAGAGUGACAAUUGUGUGUUGUAUUCAUCAGAUUCAUAUGGAUGUUAUUGUUUGAAAACAUACUUAUCAUGCUGAUUACUGGCAGUUUUGUUUAAUUGUCUUUUUUCCUCCAAUAUGGUGACAGGUGUGUAUUGUUUCAUACAUCAUGAACAUGGGUUAACAUCUGUUUUACUUUUAUCACUUUCAUUGUAGAAAUGGACUUUCUGGAAGUAUUAGAGGCUAAAAAUCUGAGUAGAAACACAUCAGAUAACACACAACUGACAGUACAAAGACUAGUACAGUUAAGAAGACAAAAAGAUGCUCUCAAAAUUCAGUUACAGACUGUAGAAACUAUG
rnacentral:lncRNA from 1 species